rnacentral:lncRNA from 1 species
AUGAAUUGAUAAAAUAAUCAACUUUGUUUCAUCAAAUAACAGUCACCUACUAUACCGUUAUUUCUUAAUAUAUUUCCCCAAUUUUCCAGAAAAUCUACCUUUAACUCUGCAUGAUAAAACCACGCUCAUCACUCUUUCAAACCCCUUCUCUUUAUAUCUAAUGCCUACACUUCUAUGCCUCCAUCAUCCAUUCACGUCCUCAUUCAUGCCAUAACAACCCACACACAAACUCUCCCUGUAUGUUAAUUUCCAUCUCCCAUAACUAUGCAUUUUUUUUAACGUAUAUACCUAAGCCUUUAAUGGUCGCAUGAUAUAUUUUCUCAUAAGAACCGAAACAACAGUGUGAUUCCACCAAGACAACAAUCUUACAGAAAACAAAGCCUAGUUUAGCAUUUUAUUCUAUGUGCUCAUGAUCACCAACAUCCCAAUAAACCAAAACAAUAAUAUACAAACUCAUAAAUAUAAAGCUGUACUACAAAGAAACUCAGGUUAACUCCCCUACCUCAAAGGAUCCAAGCAUUCUUUCUAGUCUUACGUUGUAGUCCCAAACUCUCCCUUUCAAGCUUUCCCUUCUUCUCCAAUGGCUUCACGCAGUGCACCCACAACUUCCUUACUAUUCUCUCUUCUUUGAUGCCCUCUUUCUAUUAUCCCCCC